AAACAUCUCAAAUACGAUAAUUAUUUGUCUCGCCUUGAACAGAGUAACAGCUCGAUUAAAAGAAGCUGACACUUUGGACUGACUGCAACAAAUUGAGUAAUCUCAGGCAUCUCAGCAUCUUUCGGCAGAAGAAGCGGGAAAACCAACUCAGAAGCAGAAAGCUGUGCCAAAAACCCAAAUCGGAAGCGCUUCGUCGAUGGAGGUUCCUGUAAGACGUUUUUUUAGUUAAAUAAAUAAAUUAUCUUCCACCUUUUUGCGUGGCGAUUUCUCUGCAAGUUUGUCAUGGGCGCACACCCAAUUGGUGAGAUGAAGAGAGAGGGUAUCAAAUAGUCAUAGGUGAUUGCUCUCCUCUUGAUUCUUUUCCCUACAUGUCUCGUGCAUCACACCUUCUCUUUUGGUGAAUCGCUAUGCACAGCGGAUGCUCAUAUUAAAUUUUCUUGUAUUUUUUUUUUGCUUUCAUUUUAUUAAAAUCAUCUGUUCUUAGACAUAUCUAAA